rnacentral:rRNA from 1 species
UACGAAGGGGGGCUAGCGUUGUUCGGAAUUACUGGGCGUAAAGCGCGCGCAGGCGGCUAUCCAAGUCAGUGGUGGAAGCCCGGAGCUCAACUCCGGAACUGCCAUUGAAACUGUUUAGCUUGAGGACGAGAGAGGUGAGUGGAAUUCCCAGUGUAGAGGUGAAAUUCGUAGAUAUUGGGAAGAACACCGGUGGCGAAGGCGGCUCACUGGCUCGUAUCUGACGCUCAGGCGCGAUAGCGUGGGGAUCAAACAGG